GAUGAACGCUGGCGGCGUGCCUAAUACAUGCAAGUCGAGCGAACGGACGAGAAGCUUGCUUCUCUGAUGUUAGCGGCGGACGGGUGAGUAACACGUGGAUAACCUACCUAUAAGACUGGGAUAACUUCGGGAAACCGGAGCUAAUACCGGAUAAUAUUUUGAACCGCAUGGUUCAAAAGUGAAAGACGGUCUUGCUGUCACUUAUAGAUGGAUCCGCGCUGCAUUAGCUAGUUGGUAAGGUAACGGCUUACCAAGGCAACGAUGCAUAGCCGACCUGAGAGGGUGAUCGGCCACACUGGAACUGAGACACGGUCCAGACUCCUACGGGAGGCAGCAGUAGGGAAUCUUCCGCAAUGGGCGAAAGCCUGACGGAGCAACGCCGCGUGAGUGAUGAAGGUCUUCGGAUCGUAAAACUCUGUUAUUAGGGAAGAACAUAUGUGUAAGUAACUGUGCACAUCUUGACGGUACCUAAUCAGAAAGCCACGGCUAACUACGUGCCAGCAGCCGCGGUAAUACGUAGGUGGCAAGCGUUAUCCGGAAUUAUUGGGCGUAAAGCGCGCGUAGGCGGUUUUUUAAGUCUGAUGUGAAAGCCCACGGCUCAACCGUGGAGGGUCAUUGGAAACUGGAAAACUUGAGUGCAGAAGAGGAAAGUGGAAUUCCAUGUGUAGCGGUGAAAUGCGCAGAGAUAUGGAGGAACACCAGUGGCGAAGGCGACUUUCUGGUCUGUAACUGACGCUGAUGUGCGAAAGCGUGGGGAUCAAACAGGAUUAAAUACCCUGGUAGUCCACGCCGUAAACGAUGAGUGCUAAGUGUUAGGGGGUUUCCGCCCCUUAGUGCUGCAGCUAACGCAUUAAGCACUCCGCCUGGGGAGUACGACCGCAAGGUUGAAACUCAAAGGAAUUGACGGGGACCCGCACAAGCGGUGGAGCAUGUGGUUUAAUUCGAAGCAACGCGAAGAACCUUACCAAAUCUUGACAUCCUUUGACAACUCUAGAGAUAGAGCCUUCCCCUUCGGGGGGGCAAAGUGACAGGUGGUGCAUGGUUGUCGUCAGCUCGUGUCGUGAGAUGUUGGGUUAAGUCCCGCAACGAGCGCAACCCUUAAGCUUAGUUGCCAUCAUUAAGUUGGGCACUCUAAGUUGACUGCCGGUGACAAACCGGAGGAAGGUGGGGAUGACGUCAAAUCAUCAUGCCCCUUAUGAUUUGGGCUACACACGUGCUACAAUGGACAAUACAAAGGGCAGCGAAACCGCGAGGUCAAGCAAAUCCCAUAAAGUUGUUCUCAGUUCGGAUUGUAGUCUGCAACUCGACUACAUGAAGCUGGAAUCGCUAGUAAUCGUAGAUCAGCAUGCUACGGUGAAUACGUUCCCGGGUCU
rnacentral:rRNA from 1 species